UUUACUUUUUGUUGUCAUGGUUGGAGGGGAAAUCUUGAAAAGAUGAGCCACCUACUGACAGCGCGGAGAGUCUGAAAUAAUAGCUCUCAUGGGUCUGAGCUCCCAUCUCAGCAUCAAACUGACUCCUGCCGCUGAGCCCAACUCAAUGCAGUGAUGGAUGAUUUCUGCAGGUCCUUCCCAACCCUACAUUUCUACACAUCUGGGAUUUCAGAAAUGAUUAAGAUCACAAUAUGUCAAUGGGUUACAGGAAACCUCUAUGCAAUGGAAAAGGAGCCCAGAAAACAAUUUGUUUAUUAUAAGCAGGUCAGUCCUCCAGGGAAUUCGUGGAAUCAUGCAGUGGGAGAGGACAAUCACGGCACUGAAAUGGGUAUGGAGGAUCUGACAUUAAGAAACUUGGCAAUGACCAAUAGAAAGAAGAAAGUACAGCUGUUUAUGGGAUUUUCAGUCUUCUCAUUGAUAUAUCUCAUGAAAGAUUGCCUAAGAACUUGUCAUUUUUUUCACCCAAAUAAAAUAGUAUCUAUUGCUAUAAAAAAAAGUCAAUGACACUUUGGGAAAGCAUUAAGCUAUAUUUCAGAAAUGACUGUCCAAAUGUUGAUUUUUUUUGAAUGAUAUACUGUAGUUAUUAUUAGGACAAAAUCUGUCAUGUAGAAAAGAUUUUUCAGCCCUUAAGUGUACUCAUGAAUAAGCAAAAACUACUUCAACUGUGGAAAGCCUCAGCAAGUUGUUGUAAACAUGUGCCCUUGCAUGUAGAUAUUCAUGUAUGUACAGGUAUAGACUGAUAAAGAUCGACUGAGGUAAAUGUUUCAAGGAAAAACAAUUCAAGACUUUAGGAAACUUAUAUAAAUCUCAGUUGGAAAUCCUUUAUUUAUGAGAUUUCUUGAAUCCAGAUUGUUAAAACAUGUAAUUAGCUCAUCUUUGACACACAUCAGGCAAAUUUGUACCCAGUUUCCUUGGUAAAUAUCACUUAAUUGGGACUUCAGUAUGAUGACAAUAAUAAAAAAAAAUCACGCCUUGCA
rnacentral:lncRNA from 1 species